rnacentral:rRNA from 1 species
UACGUAGGUGGCAAGCGUUAUCCGGAAUUAUUGGGCGUCACGGGCUCGCAGGCGGUUUCUCCCUUUUAUGUUUAAAGUUCGGGGCUUAACCCCGUGAUGCCAUAGAAACUGGUAGACUAGAGUGCAGGAGAGGUUAGUGGAAUUCCAUGUGUAGCGGUAAAAUGCGUAGAUAUAUGAAGGAACACCAGUGGCGAAGGCGGCUAACUGGCCUGUAACUGACGCUGAGGCUCGAAAGCGUGGGGAGCAAAUAGG